UACAGAGGGUGCGAGCGUUAAUCGGAAUCACUGGGCGUAAAGCGCACGUAGGCGGAUCUUUAAGUCAGGGGUGAAAUCCUGGAGCUCAACUCCAGAACUGCCUUUGAUACUGGGGAUCUCGAGUCCGGAAGAGGUGAGUGGAACUCCGAGUGUAGAGGUGAAAUUCGUAGAUAUUCGGAAGAACACCAGUGGCGAAGGCGGCUCACUGGUCCGGUACUGACGCUGAGGUGCGAAAGCGUGGGGAGCAAACAGG
rnacentral:rRNA from 1 species